UACGUAGGGUGCAAGCGUUGUCCGGAAUUAUUGGGCGUAAAGAGCUCGUAGGCGGUCUGUCGCGUCGGAUGUGAAAAUCCAGGGCUCAACCCUGGACCUGCAUUCGAUACGGGCAGACUAGAGUUCGGUAGGGGAGACUGGAAUUCCUGGUGUAGCGGUGGAAUGCGCAGAUAUCAGGAGGAACACCGGUGGCGAAGGCGGGUCUCUGGGCAGUAACUGACGCUGAGGAGCGAAAGCGUGGGGAGCGAACAGG
rnacentral:rRNA from 1 species